CGUCCUACGGGGCGCAGCAGUAGGGAAUAUUGCACAAUGGGGGAAACCCUGAUGCAGCGACGCCGCGUGAAGGAUGAAGUAUUUCGGUAUGUAAACUUCUAUCAGCAAGGAAGAAAAUGACGGUACUUGACUAAGAAGCCCCGGCUAAAUACGUGCCAGCAGCCGCGGUAAUACGUAUGGGGCAAGCGUUAUCCGGAUUUACUGGGUGUAAAGGGAGCGUAGGCGGUACGGCAAGUCAGAAGUGAAAGCCCGUGGCUCAACCGCGGAACUGCUUUGGAAACUGUUAAGCUGGAGUACUGGAGAGG
rnacentral:rRNA from 1 species